UACGUAGGGGGCAAGCGUUAUCCGGAUUUACUGGGUGUAAAGGGAGCGCAGACGGUAUAGCAAGUCUGAAGUGAAAUGUUAGGGCUCAACCCUAAAGCUGCUUUGGAAACUGCUAAACUUGAGUGUCGGAGGGGUAAGCGGAAUUCCUAGUGUAGCGGUGAAAUGCGUAGAUAUUAGGAGGAACACCGGCGGCGAAGGCGGCUUACUGGACGAUAACUGACGUUGAGGCUCGAAAGCGUGGGGAG
rnacentral:rRNA from 1 species